GAUGGCCAUACCUACCUGCACAUGCCCAGUCUUAUCUGGAUCUCAGAAGCUAAGCAGGGUCAGGCCUGGUUAGAACUUGGAUAGGAGAUGUUCAAAUAGUACACUUCC
rnacentral:rRNA from 1 species